rnacentral:rRNA from 1 species
AUGGGCCCCUCUCCGCACCACCACCACCUCCUCGCCCUCCUCGUCGCCGGCAUCGCCGCGGUGGUCCUCCCUUUGGGAGGCGCCGCCGAGGGCAUGAGCGAGACGGAGGCGCUGAUCCACCUGAAGAAGUCGUUCUCCAACUCCUCCUCGGUCUCGUCGUGGCUCCUCACCGACAACGGCGGCCAGUCCCCGUGCGCCCCGGGGUCGCACGAGUGGCACGGCGUGGUGUGCGGCCGCGGCAAGGUCACCGGGCUCCGCCUCAGCGGGCUCCAGCUCGGCGGCACCAUCGACGUCGACGCGCUCUCCAGCUUCCCCGACCUCCGCUCCGUCUCCUUCGCCGGCAACAACUUCACCGGCCCGCUCCCCAGCUUCCACCGCCUCACCGCGCUCAAGUCCAUGUUCCUCUCCGACAACAAGUUCAACGGUGCCAUCCCCGACGAGUUCUUCCCGAACCUUAACCAUCUCAAGAAGCUCUGGCUCGACGGCAACGAGCUCUCGGGCCACAUCCCGGCGUCCCUCGCCGAGGCCGAGGCGCUCAUCGAGCUCCACCUCGAGCGCAACAAGUUCACCGGGGAGCUCCCUCCCGCGCCGCCCCCGGCGCUCAAGGCGUUCGACGUUUCCGACAACGACCUCGACGGCGUCGUCCCGGAGGCGUUCCGGCGGUUCGACGUCAGCGGGUUCCGCGGGAACCAGUACCUCUGCUAUGUCCCGACCCCCGGCCAGACGUGCAAGCGCCCGGAGAUCACGCCCGAGUCGACCAACUGGCUCGGCGUGGUGCUGGCCAUGCUGCUCGCCUUGGCAAUCGUGAUCGUCGUCGUCUUCUGCGCGUGCGGCGGCCAGCCGGUCCGCGUCCACGGCUACGACCACGCCCACAAGGGCGACACGGAGGACACGCCGCCGGUGUACAUGGUGAAGCAGGGAUCAUCGACGGCGCAGAAGCGGAGCAUGUCGUGGCUCGGGAGGAGGACGGGAGGGUCGUCGGCAGGCGGCACAGGCGGGCGGCACCGCCGGGCGUCGUCCGCGGCGAAGGUGGACGGCAUGAGCACCGGGGGCGUCGCCGGUGACCUGGUCAUCGUGAACGACUGCAAGGGCGUGUUCGGUCUGACGGACCUGAUGAAGGCGGCGGCGCAGAUGAUCGGCAGCGGCGGGCUCGGGUCGGCGUACAAGGCGGUGAUGGCCAACGGCGUGGCGGUGGUGGUGAAGCGCGCGCGCGACAUGAACCGCGCCACCAGGGUCGCGUUCGAGGCCGAGAUGAAGCGCCUGGGCGGCAUCCGCCACGCCAACCUGCUGCCGCCGCUGGCGUACCACUACCGCAAGGACGAGAAGCUGCUGGUCUACGAGUACAUCCCCAAGGGCAGCCUCCUCUACGUGCUCCACGGCGACCGCGGCGUGGACUACGCGGCGCUGGACUGGCCGACGCGGCUCAAGGUGACGGCCGGCGUGGCGCGCGGCGCGGCGUUCCUCCACGCCGAGCUCGCCGGCGCCGGGCACGACGUGCCGCACGGCAACCUCAAGUCGUCCAACGUGCUCCUCGCGCCGGACUUCGAGCCGCUGCUGGUCGACUUCGGCUACUCCAGCCUCGUCAACUACACGGAGUCGCCGGCGUCCAUGUUCUCGCGCCGGGCACCCGAGUGCGUCGCCGGGCACCCGGCGUCCGCCAAGGCCGACGUGUACUGCCUCGGCAUCGUCCUCCUCGAGAUCCUCACCGGCAAGUUCCCGUCGCAGUACAACGCCAACGGCGGCACGGACCUGGUCAUGUGGGCGACCACGGCGCAGGCCGACGGCCACGAGCAGAACCUGUUCGACCAGGGCAUCGUGACGGCGUGCGAGUACGCGCUGCCGGACAUGAAGCGGCUGCUGCGGAUCGCGAUGGAGUGCGUGGAGGCGGACCUGGAGAGGCGGCCGGACAUGAAGCAGGCCGCGUCGAGUGUGGAGGAGACGGUGGCUGCGGCGCUGGCGACGGUGAGGCAGGAGGCACCCACGUGA